UGUGUUUAAAAAAUAUUUUGAAAUAAAAAGAUGCUGAUUUACUGUAUACAAUUGAUUCAUCUUAUAUAAGCUACAUGCAAAUACAUUUGCAUUAAUUGUAUUAAUCUUUGUGUUUCCAGGUUAAGAAGAAUUUCUUUAGUCAGAAAUGUGAAGUCUGACAGAUGCAAACAGGAGAGGGGAAUGUCUGCAAUCUUCCAGUAGGGGUAGCUGUGGUUCUAUUGCAGAGGUCACAGUGCACACACGCACACACACCAAUACACAAACACAGUUUUACCAGCUGUGCGUGUGCAGACUCUACAUCCUGUCAGGCUGUGAUAUCUUGAUACUGAGGCCUGUGUGUUUUCAGGAUUUAAAAAGACAGCUCACCGACUCCAGCAUGAAUGAAUGUUACACAACACUGAAAUCAGAGAGUGUGCAUCUUUCUGGGUGCACCACAAAACUGUGGCAGCCUCAUGCACUGUUAGAGCACAGUCACACGGCAGGAAAGGACUGUUUACUGUUAGUGUGAGAAGAUUGGCCUUGUUUAUUUAAAACAGCUGACAAGUGACUUCUACCUGACUCCUCCGAAGCAUCAAAUGAUCUCUAAUCUAUUUUACGACAGAAAUUCACUGAAAUUCUUACAUUUUACACCCAUUCAUACAUUUGUCUUUUCUUUUAUGUUUUAUUUUAUAGUCUUUUGUUGAGAUUAUUUUAUAUUUUCUCACUUUGCUGUUAAUUGAAUGUAUUAAUUUGAGAAAAAAUGACAGCACUAAAUCUAAGGGAUCAGAUAGCUGGACAUGUUUCAUGUCUUUCAGUGUAUCUUCAGCACUUCCUGGCGUGUGUGUGAAGUGUGUUUGCUUUGGCAGCAUCCUGUUCUCCACAGAUGGCAGCUCUCUGUGUGAAGUCUCCUCUGACAACUGCCAGCAGGCCCGAUCCUGCACAGACAAAGAGGAUGAGAGGAGACGUCUGGCUGUGAUGUUGCUCCUGAGCUGCUCGAGUGUGAUGAAGCGGAAACCAAAUCCUCUCUGUGCGACAAUCUGUCUGCCGCAGGAAUCAACUCCUGGGACUGUUUGACCCAGUAACCUCUGAGCCUUUCAGAUCGACCAGAAGGCACAGAGGACACUGCAGGAGGAGGGACAGGAGGACGACGGAUGGUCGGAGUUACCAUUGAGAGAAAAAGCUCCUCCAAAAGGAGAGCAUCACUGCUGCUCCAGGUAUGACAGGGAAGAAGCUGGGAAGGAGAAAAGAAACUAAAAGAUAGUCAGUGUUCCCUCAUUUAUGGUGGGGGAUAGGUUUCAUAAAUAACACACAAAUGGUGAAAUCCCCAAAGUAGGAUUACAGACGCUUUAUGGCUGUAAACUCCUCACUACACAUUU